UGAUUGUUGGUGUAGGGGUAUGAUUCUUGCUUUGGGUGUGAGAGGUCCGGGGUUCAAAUCCUGUAUAAGCCA